UACGAAGGGGGCGAGCGUUGUUCGGAAUUACUGGGCGUAAAGCGUGCGCAGGCGGUGAUGUAAGACAGAUGUGAAAUCCCCGGGCUCAACCUGGGAACUGCGUUUGUGACUGCAUCGCUGGAGUGCGGCAGAGGGGGAUGGAAUUCCGCGUGUAGCAGUGAAAUGCGUAGAUAUGCGGAGGAACACCGAUGGCGAAGGCAAUCCCCUGGGCCUGCACUGACGCUCAUGCACGAAAGCGUGGGGAGCAAACAGG
rnacentral:rRNA from 1 species